rnacentral:lncRNA from 1 species
UAGAGCCAGAAACUAGAAGGGAAAAAAAGAAUUCUUGAGAAGGCAGGAGAAAAGACCAUAAGAUCAGAAAAGGAUUCAUCUAAAACAAGAAUGAAGAUUUCUGGAAGUCUAGUGAGGAAAGGUUUGUUAAAAGUAGGAAUAGGUGAUAUUAGUAAAUUUGAUAGAUGUUGACAGAAAAGAUACAACUGAAAAUAGUUUAGUGGAUUUGACCAAUAGGAGAUCAGUGAUGAUUUAGGGAGGGUGUGUUAAUGGAGUGGAAUAGAUACAGGAACAAGAGAAAUGGUUGAGGACACAGAGACAAGGAUAGACUGUCCUUUCACAUAAUUUGAAGAGAGACUGACACAGCUUACAGCAAGAGCAAGGUUAAUAUUCUCUCUGUCUCUGUGUACGUAUACAUAUGAAUGAAUGAAAAUUUCAGAAUAUUUGCAGUUGAAAAAGAAAGUACCAGAGGAGAAGAUAUUGAAGAUAUAAUCUUAAAAGAUGUAUUUCAAGGAGGAAAGUCUAGAAAAGGAGAAGAAAUUCAGAGUUUUAGAUCUAAAGAGGAAAGACACUUCUCUCCAUAAGGAUGAGAGGGUCAAUAGGGAGAACUCUGACCUGUCUCCCAGCUGUGGAAAGAGGCUGACAGAGCAGCCACCAUGUGGAUGUGGCAGAGUGACGGAGAGGGGGAAGUCUGAUUCAAUGUGACAUGAUGUCUUUACAACUAGGAAAAGAAAUUGCUAGCAACUGUCUGUGGUAGAUUGCACAAGGUUCUCAAGUUCUUUGCAUCCUGUAUGUGCGCCCCUUUGUUGCAAUGUAACUUUGCCAUUCUCUCUUUGAAGAGUGGAGUCUGUUUCACAGCCCUUGAAUCUGGGCUUGGUCCUGUGACUUGCUCUGGCCGAUGCAACAUUAGCGAAUGCUAUGCUAGCA